rnacentral:lncRNA from 1 species
AUUUAAAAAUAAAAAUUUAAAUAUUGUUACAUACUUUUAGCCCAAUAAUAAAAAUAUAAAUGUUUGUUUUUUUAUUAAAAUUAGAUUUUUUUACUUAAUUAACUUAUUACGUUAACUUUAACACAUUUACGUUAAGAUUUAAAAUUUAGUUAUUAUACCUUUAUAAGUUUUUACGUCAAUUUUUAUAGUUUUACGUCAAGGCUUAUCUAUAUUAAUUUUGAACUAUAAUUAUUUUUAUCAUUAUUAUUCUUCAUUUAAAAAUUAAAAUUUGUAUAUCGUUAAACACUUUUAACUGGAGAAUAUAAGUUUAAAUAUUAGGUUUUCACUGAAAUUAGAUUUUUUUUACUUAAUUAACUUAUUACGUUAACUCUCACACUUUUACAUUAAGAUUUAAAAUUUAGUUAUUUCACCUUUAUAAGUUUUUACGUCAAUUAUUACAGUUUUACGUCCAGGCUUAUCUAUGUCAAUUUUGAACUAUAAUUAUUUUUAUCCUUAUUAUUCUUCAUUUAAAAAUUAAAAUUUGUAUAUCGUUAAAUACUUUUAGUCCGAGAAUUAAAUUUAAAUAUUUUUUUCACUAAAAUUAGAUUUUUUUACUUAAUUAACUUGUUGCGCUAACUCUCACACUUUUGCGUUAAGAUUUAAAAUUUAGUUAUUCUACCUUUAUAAGUUUUUAUGUCAAUUGUUACAGUUUUACGUAAAGGUUUAUCUGUCAAUUUUGAGCUAUAAUUAUUUUUAACCUUAUUAUUCUUUAUUUUAAAAUUUAAAUUUGUAUAUCGUUAUAUACUUUUAAUCCGAGAAUAUAAAUUUAAAUUUUUUUUUUACUAAAAUUAGAUUUUUUUCACUUAAUUAACUUGUUACGUUAACACUCACACGUUUACGUUAAGAUUUAAACUUUAACUACUCCACCUUUAUAAGUUUUUACAUCAAUUCUUACAAUUUUACGUCAAGGCAUUUCUAUAUCAAUUUUGAACUAUAAUUAUUUUUAUCUUUAUUAUUCUUUAUUUAAAAAUUAAAAUUUGUAUAUUGUUAAACAUUUUAGUCUAAGAGUAUAAAUUUAAAUGUUUGUUUUUUAGUAAAAUUAGAUUUUUUUUUACUUAAUUGAUUUAUUACAUUAAUUCUAACACAUUUACGUUAAGAUUUAAAAUUUAGUUAUUCCACCUUUAUAAGUUUGUGCGUCAAUUCUUACAAUUUUACAUCAAAGUUUUUCUAUGUCAAUUUUGAGCUAUAUUUAUUUUUAUCCUUAUUAUUCUUUAUUUAAAAAUUAAAAUUUUUGUAUCGUUAAACACUUUUAGCCCUACAAUAUAAAUUUAAAUAUUUAUUUUUCAUUAAAAUUAGAUUUUUUUUCUUAAUUGACUUGCUAUGUUAACUCUCAUAUAUUUACGAUAAAAUUUUAAAUUUAGUUAUUCUACUUUUACGAGAUUUAUGUCAAUUCUUAUUAUUUUACGUUAAGGAUUUUUAAUCAUAACUUUUAAAAACUUUAUGUCUAGGUUUUUUAAUGACAACUUUAAAUUACAUGUGUUUUUAUUUUUGUUAUUAUAUAUUUUUAAUUUUGACUUUUUGAUUUAUUAUAGUGAUAAUCCUAUUUAUAAUAUGAUAUUUCAGCCAUUAAAUAAAAGCAAUGCAAAUAAACGGUUUCGAUUAAUAAAGCAUAAAAAGAGAGUCCAUUAAAGGAAAGAUUUUUUGUUUACCGGUUGAAUUUGUUUACCAGUUUCUUGAUGGGUUUUAAAUCAAUUGUUGCAAUUUAAUCUCAUAGAUCUUAUGGUCUUUAUUAAUUGACCUUACAAUAAGGUCAAAAAUAAUUACCUUACUGCAAAAUUUGUCAUAUCAAAGGCAUCAUUAAUUCGUUAUCCUCGAAAAAGAGCUAUACAAACUGAUUAUUUAAAAAAAAAAAAAAGUCCAAACCUAGCCCAUUCGGCAUCUACCAUGAGUUGGGGCGAUGACCUAAAAGAUGAAAAGGAUGACACUAAUCACCCAUAGAACGGCGAAAGUGAUCUCCUACUUGAUAGCAACCACUGCGAUGGCAUCUCAAGGUCCUAAGUAUUAUUAAGGUUUAAGUCUUUGGGUCCUACUCUUUCUUCUUUUUUGCAAAAACAAUGGAGAUAGGAAGCAUCGGAUGAAACACAUAUAGUUCUAACCUAGUCGGGUUGAUCAAAUCGCCAAUGCUCAGACCAAGCACAUGGGGCAAACCUGAAAAAGUGACUUCGGGGCCUCAGUGUUAAGACGAAGUAAGAUCCAGUUAGUAGGGGUUUAAGCUUUUGUCGAAGAGUUCCCGGUAAAGUUAGCAAUGAAUGUCGGCUUAUAAAAAGUGAUGCUGGUGGUGGCAAUGGCGGCGGAGGUUGCUUUUGCUUUGGAUGUUUGUUGGAUAAGUUUAUAAUAUUUGAUCGUCUCACAUUGGAAGAUAAUUAUUCAAGAUGUGUCUGUUUAAAUUAAAACAUAAAUUUUGAAUAAAUAGAAGACAUCUUUUCAAUAGUUAUAAAAAAAGGAAGAGUUUUCAAUAUAGGCAUCAACCUUUAAAAGCAUUUUGUAAUAAGUUUGUUGUAUCUUGCAGAAUCUUUGUCUGCAAAUCUCCAUAGUAGGCAACAACUAUUUAAAGAAAGUGUGUUACAUCAUGCCUCAAGUUCUUUUCCUCUCUUCUUAUACUAAUUUUCUAACAAUAAAGAGUAGUUGGUGCAAAAGAUGUGUGUCAUUCUUAUCAUACAUUAAGGUAUAAUAAUGUCAAUAUGUAAAUACCAUCAAGGUCCAUAUGAAAGGUUGACAUAUGGCAUUCCUAUUAUAUAUAAAGGUAUAAUGAUGUUUAUGUAAAUACCAUCAAGGUCCAUGUGAUAGGUAGGCAUGUGACAAACUUAUUACACAUGAAGGUGUAAUAGUGCCAAUAUGUAAAUUUAACAUCUUUAUAUAUAGUGCAUUCUUAUUUUAUCAUCGAAGCCAUAAUGGUGCAACAUAGAUAUUCAACAUCUUUGACUUGACAUUCUAAUUGUGUAAUAAAGGUACAAUGUUGCUUAUGUGAACAUAUACAUUGAUGUAUUAAUUUGACAUUUUGAUUAUACAUGAAGAUACAAUGGUGUCAAUUGAGAAAAAAAGAUUUUCUUAUGCUAGUUAGAUAGCUAAUAUUGAUGACAAUAAAUUCACAUCAUAAUCGAUUUUUACCUUAGGAGGUAGUGCUAUUAAUUGGGCAUCUAAGAAGCAAACUUGUAUUACACAUUCCAAAAUUGAAUCUGAAUUUUAUAGCAUUAGCAGCUAUUGGAAAAGAAGCGGAAUGGAUGAAAAAUUUGUUAUUAGAUAUAAAGUUGUGGCCACAACUAAUGCCAGCCAUUUUCAUAUAUUGUGACAAUGAAGCAAUAAUAUGUGUAGCCACAAUAAGAUUUAAAAUGGUAAGUCUAGACACAUAAGUUUACAGCAUAACUACAUAAGACAAUUAAUCUCAAAUGGCAUUAUAAUAAUAGUUUGUGUUAAAUCUUGUAAGAAUUUGACUGAUCCACUUACCAAAGCUUUAUCAAGAAAGGCUAUAAAAUCAACAUCUAGUGAAAUGGGGCUAAAACCCUUGACUUAAAUGCAUUAGUAAUAGAAACCCAACUUUGAGUUCGCAAAACUAACAAUAAAAGUUCAAUGGGUAAUAACAAGUUACUAUAUAUUGUUAUUAUGCACUAAAUUUUUUAUAUUAAAUAGCCUCAUUCUAAAAUAUUCAAUGUGACUGUUAUGAGGAGAGGAUGAGCAAAAGGUUUUUAAUGGCAAUGUUAAAUGCUUGUAGUAACAAAGACAUAAUGAUAAAUUCCACCUAUAUGAAUAUUAAAGUGAUGCCACUUUAAAUAAGAGUUACAAGGGUUUACUCGGGUAAAUAUUCAUGAAGUAAGAUUAGCACAAGGCCAUAUUAGUGCUAAAGUAGUUGGGAGAAUCUUAAAAGUGAUUAAAUAACGUUAUGUGUGAUAUUUUCGAUUAUAACAUAAAGAGUUGUGGUUCAAUCCCUAUGAUACCAAUAACUUUGUCUUAACUUUAAAAUUUCUAUGCUAGUAGAAAGUUCAAAUCUUCAAGAUACUUUCUAUUAUGCAUAAUAUUAUUAAUAUUACAAACUAGUGGUGGAUUUUUAGAUAGUUUGUAAUAAUUGGCAGUCUCACAUUGGAAAAUAAUUAUUCAAUUGUUCAAAUUAAAACAUAACUCUUUAAAUAAGCAAAAGUGUUUUCAACAAACACAACUAUUGAAACACAAUAGGCACAUCUGCUAAAACACAACAGAUACAACUUUUCAGUAUCCAUAAAAAAAAAAAUGGAAAAACUUUCAAUAUAGACAUCAACCUUCAAAAUUAUUCUGCAAUAGGCUUGUUAUAUCCUGGAGAGUCCUUGUUUGCCUUUAAAAAAAGUGUGUUACAGCACGUCUCAAGCCUUUCUCUUCUUUUCUUAUACUAAUUUUCCAACAAUAUUUCUAUUUCUGUGGUAUUGCUCUGGUUGUUUUUUCUGUUGCUGGACUUGGGGAACACCAAGUCGGAUCCAAAGGCAGACCCACAUUCAUUAGAAUGGUGUCACUUGACACCACUCAAUUAGACAAAAAUAUUUAUUUAUUAUAUUACUUAUUUAGAGUUUUAUAUACUUUAAAAUACUAAUGAACCCAUUAAUUUUUUUAAAAUUUUGUAAGGAGUGGGGUCAAAAAAUAGAUUUUAUUAAAAAUCUACAUAUUAAUAAUACUUAAAUAUUAUCAAAAAGUAUAUUUAUCAAAAUGUAAUUUAUAUAUUAAUAUUUAAAUACUACAUAGAAAGAUAAAAAAAUUUCUUUUCAUAAUUUAAAAUUUUAUCAAAAAAGUCAAAACCUAAACUACUCUUCCUCUCAAAAAUUUCAAGACUUGCUCUUGAGACCCGUAAUGACUUUUUCUCAAUCCUUGGUUGUAAUUUUUAUUCUCUCAAAACAACUCAACUAGGCUUCAAUUGUAAGUAAUUUUCAACCUAAAUUAAGUUUUUAAAUACUUCAUGUCUAAGUAUUUUUGAUUAAUUUGAUAGUUUAGGUUCACAAUUAUAAUCUAACUAAUGAGAAAUAAUAUUGCAUGUCAAAUAAUAUUUUAAAUUAUGAGUUAUGUGGUUUGUGGAUGCUUAUAUUUAAUUUUGAUCAAUGAAUUAAAAAUUAUCAUAUUGUUAGUUGUUGAAUUUGUUAAUGUACUAUGUAAGAUCAUAUUUUAUUUAAUUCUAAUAUUAUUUGAUAUAUUUGAUAGUGUUUCUACUAAAGCUAUAAUACAAUGUUUUCGAAAUAUGAAAAAUUGUCAUAGAUAAUUAUAAUUUUUUUAAAUAUUUUUAUUUUAAAAUAUUAAAUAAAUAUACUGAAUUUAUAUUUUUUAAUUUAAUAUUAACUUUUAGUUUAUAGAUUUUAAUAAAUUUAUUUUUUUAAUUAUGACAUUAGUCAAAAAAAUUCCUGAACCCGUGUCUGGUCGGAUCUCCGACUUAAAAGGAACAGCUCCAGGUUUCUUGAAGGAAUCAUCCACUGCCAUUGUUCUUUCAGACGGAAAAUAACUACCAAAGUAUAUAUAAAGAGUAAAAGCAAGCUGAUAAAACAAACUUUCAUCAUCUAGAGUGAGUCUGUCUAGGUCUUUACAUAUAGUUGGGGUGGCAGCUAGGGAUGAAGGAAAAGCUUAGUCUCGGCGGGAUUAAAGGCAUGAAGGUGGGGCUGGUCCAUGCACGUAUUUGAGUUUUACUUAGGUCCAUUCGAGGCAGGGGCGGAGCUAGCUAAUUUUUAUUGAGAAAGUCAAAGACUAAAAAAAAUAAAAGUUAAAAAUUUUUAAAAUUAAUAUAUUAAACUUAAUUAUUAAUAAUUAAAAGAUUUAAAAUAAACAAUAAUUUUAUAUAACGUGUAAAUAAAAAAAAAACUUAUAAUAGUACUCUAGAAAAGUUUUGUUCGAUGAUGGUAAUAUCUUUUUAAAUAUAAACAACUAAAUUAUUUGUAAAAAACUUAUCAUUCAUUUUAUUUCGAAGUCUUCUCUUUAUCGAUAUAAACGACUUAAAAAUUAAUCUAGUCAACAUCUAAUAUUCUUAUUUUAUUAUAUUUAAGUUUAUAAUACUAAAUAUUAAACUAUAAUGCAUAAAAUAUAAAUAGUUAAAUAUUAUAUACAUAAUUAAUAAUUUUUUUUAUACUCAAAAUAAUUUCUUUUCAACUAAAUAUAAAAUGUAAAGCACAUUAAAAACAUAUACUCGAUAUAAUUUUUUCUUAUAUAAUUAGGAUUAAUAAAAAAUAAUAUAUUAGUGAAAUUUUAAACAACAACCAAUAAUGUAACACUUGAACUUAUAUUUGAGAAUUACAUAUACAAUAAUUAAUUUUUUAAUUUUUAAAAAUUAAAAUUAUUAAAAAUAAAAUCCACAUAAUAGAAAAAAAUCAUGACGAGUAGGAGAUAUAACUUAUAUAACAAAAAAAAAUAUGAUUGAUGAUUUGUAGAAAUUUAAAAUAAAAAAUCUAUAAAAACUUAAAAUAUAUGAGCAAAUAGAAUAUAAUUGAAAAAACUAAAUAAAUAUAAAUAAUAAUAGUAAUAUAAGUAGAAAAAAUUAAAUAAAAACUUUACCUUUUUAUAAUUUUACAAUACAAGAACAGAAAAGAAAAAAAAUAGUUGGAGAAACUUAAAAAAUUAAAAAAAAAUUAAAAAUUUAGUAAAAUUAAAUAGAAUUUGUAAGAUCAUUUUAUUAUUUUUUAAUUAUAUUAAUUAUUUUUAAAAAAUUAUUAAAAAAUAUAUAAUAUAUAAAAAAUUCAAAAUUUUUGGGGGGCCAUUCCAAAGGGACGCUCCGCCCCUGAUUCGAGGCCAAACCAGUCUCCAUCAUAAAAACAGAAGACAGUUGAACGAGGCAGAAGAUUCAAACAUGUGUCAAUGCUUGAGCUAGACUUUUUCAGCAUCCAAUUCGAAAUCACAGGAGGGGUUUUCCUUUGAUUUGGGUUCAGAUGGAGCAUAGAGCUCUGGGUUUUUGAAUUGUCAAACUAUUAGAACGGUAAAAAUUCUAAAACCAGUUUGUUGCAAGGGCUGGUGUUAGAAACAGAGACCAACCUGAUGACUGCCUAGCCAGGCCAGCUAAGUGCGAAUGUGCAAUGGAGAUUUGAAAUUUUGGGCUCCAGCUCCACCCAGACAUUAUCAUAAGAGAUGCACUACUGAUGUUGUGCUCCAUUCGAAUAUAUUUGUCAUGAUAUCCCUCACGCAAACGAAAAGUAACUUCGAUGGUUCAAAUGGAAAAGUCUUAUUACUCUCAGUUUUACCAUUAUGAUAGCAACAAAAGUAAUUUGGUCCCCAUUCAUCAUCUUUUCAUUGUACUAAAUAAGCAUUGCUGUUGUGAAUAAUACUAUGAGACAGGAUGCAAAUUGGAGUGUCAAGAACACAUUGAAUCAGCCUACGCAACUUUAGCAUUAGAUUAGAGAUCAAUUAAAGAGAUCAAACUUAACAUACAAGAUCCAUGUAAGACUAAGUAACAUGAGACUCAAAAGAUGGGCCCAUCUUUGAUAAAUAGCAGGCAUAACACAAUAGUUUGAAAAGCCGUUUCGUUGCAAUAUAUUACAAUCCAAAAAGUUGAACCUUUACUUGUCUUCAAAGGCCCCUGCAUCCCAAUCUACGCUGUCCCCUAACUUUCAAAACAGAAUUCUUGUCGCAUGUUACACAAAGCUCGCAUUGUGUUGCUGGCCACAUCCAGCAGCUGCAAGUACUCAUCUGCACCAUCCCCUAGACGCUUAUCUGCCUCAGCCAAACUCUUGCAAAUUUUAGCUUUUUGUUCAUCUGGUAUAUCAUCUGCCUCAACAACCACAUCAAAUAACUGAGAAAGCAUCUGAGAAACCGGAAACCCUUCUGCAAUUCCAUUAUUGACGUCCUUGUUUGCCAAAUCAAAGUUGCCGCUUUUGCAUGCAGCAUAAAAUGCCUCAACAACUUCUUGAGGGGUAAUCCCAGAUACACUAAGUAGGGCCUUUGAAGAAAUUGUUGAUCCAAAUAAGCGAGCAGCUCCCUGCAAGUAUGUAUUAAACCUCAGUAGUUCUUAUAUCCUUUUUGCCUCUUACACCAUUUUUUUAUUUUUAUACUAACAAUUAAGAAAACAAAAUUUUGAAUUACAUAUCAUUAUUCACAAUUUAUCAUAUUGGAAAAGAAAUAUGCAGACACAACACACAGACAGAGAAAAACCUUAAAAAUAACAAUCAAACUGCAGCAAAGACUUUCAAUGAAAAAAUCUCCACGGAUGGGAUGUAAUGAACACACUAUUAAACAAACAAGAAGGCCCUUGAUUCUAUUUUCCCUGUAAUGGAACUUGCAUUAAUUCAAGUUAAAAAAGGUACACCUAAACACAUAGCAGGGCCAUGCCCUCAUCCCAGAUUCAUUCUGUUUGACAUAAAACUAAAAUGAGUUCGGGGUACUUACAAGUACAAAUCAAAUUUCUCCUCUGUAACCACCAGAACCAAAAUAAUCCCUUCUAGAACUUGCAAUCGCCAUGCUUUUCUGAUGCUCUAACUUGGGGCAAUCCCGGAUACGAUGGCCCAACCCACCACAAUAAGCACAACCCUUUACACCACUUGCGUUGGUGAUUGCAUCCACAUCCUCCAUUGGAUCAUUCAGCUCAGCCAAGACGGGUGGAAUCCUCUGUUUGGCUUCUUGCAAAAGGUGCUUCAAAUCAAGCAGGGUUGUCUCACUCUGGUUCUUAUUUAUGAAUGUGGUUGCAAUUCCCGUUUUACCACAUCUUCCUGUUCGUCCUAUUCUAUGGACAUAGUUUUCAAUUUCAGCAGGCAUAUCAUAAUUGAUCACAUGUUGAAUAUCAGGAAAAUCCAAACCCUUUGAUGCAACAUCAGUUGCGACUAAGACAUCCUUCUUGCCAGCUUUAAAGGAUGAAAUGGCAUACUCUCUCUCUUCUUGGUCCUUGCCUCCAUGAAUGGCCACAGCUUCAACUCCUUUCAAGAGGAGAUAUUCAUGAAUAUCAUCCACAUCAGCCUUAUUCUCACAAAAUAUUAAAACAGGCGGAGGGGUUUUUUGUAGGCAUUCAAGGAGGUAGACUAUCUUUGCCUCUUGCUUCACAUACUCGACCUCCUGAAUCACAUCGAGAUUUGCAGCUCCUGCUCUUCCAACAUUAACAGUAACUGGUUUUACUAAAGCACUUCUGGCGAAGUUCUGAAUUUUGGUAGGCAUAGUUGCAGAGAACAAAAGGGUUUGCCGUUGGGCUUUAAAGUGGUCAAACACUUCCCUGAUGUCAUCUUCAAAGCCUAAAUCUACUAGUCUAUCUGCUUCAUCCAAUGUCAAGUACCUAUAGAAGAAAAACCAAUUGCUUAAGUAUCAUUAUCUAUCCAGAGCAAAAACUUUUUGAUCUAAAUGGCAUACAUAUAAUCUAUAUAUUUUGGGCGUAAAAAGGCCAGCUGUAACAGAUUCAACACAGUUGAUAUCUUUAAAAUUAAGUGCAAGGAUAAAAAACAAUGCGGAAGCAACUAACAUUCCAUGAUAGCAGACGUAUAAAGAGAUAUCUAAAAAAAAUGAGCAGCAACAGAAAAAAAAGUACAAAAUCUUUUCCCAAAAAGAGAACUGCCAAAAUGUUAACAGGCAAACCAAAAGUAAGCUAGCUGUGACAAAUACAACACCAUACAAUAUCUUUCAAAACAAAUGCAAGAAAAAUUGCAAAACAUAGCAGAAGUAAAGAGCGCUACAUAUUUCACCAUAAAUAUACAAAGCACUACAUAUCGGCAAAAGUACUUAAGAGAUAUUAAAACAAGUGACAAAUGAGUUAACAGGCAAAACAAAACGAACUUGCUCCCCCAGCCCCCACCAAGCCUCUAUAAUAUUUUAGCAUCUCUGUUCCUGUCAAUGCAUACAGCAGUAGCUUAAGUUGCCACAAACAACUAAAUUCAAAUAUAUACUGCACAGAUAGUCAUGAGACCAAAUGUAGCAGGUUAGUUAAUUCACAAUGCUGUUAUUAGAAGCGCUGAAUUAAUAAUCAUUACCUGCAAUUGUCUAAAUUCAUCUUCUUCUUGGCAAGCAUAUCCUUCAGCCUCCCAGGAGUAGCAACAACAAUGUGAACCCCUUUCUUCACAACAUCCAACUGGGACCUCAUAUCCACACCACCAAUACAAAGCAAUGGUCUGAGCUCUGGAUACCCAUUUUCCCUCAUAGGUACCAAAAACUGCUCCACCACUUCAUAUGUCUGCCUAGCAAGCUCCCUUGAAGGACAGACAAUCAACCCAAAAGGGCCUUCUCCUGGAAGUAUCGGCAUCAUCAUCUCCUCCUGCAAUGCAAUCAUAAUCAGUGGAAGCACGAACACAAGCGUUUUUCCCGACCCUGUAAACGCAAUCCCAAUCAUAUCUCUUCCUGACAAAAUCACAGGCAGCCCUUGAACUUGAAUAGGAGUCGGCUGCACAAUCCCCUUUGCCUUCAACUUCUUCAAAAUGGGAUCCGGAAACUUCAUGUCCUUAAAAUUCUUAAUAGGAGGUGGAAUAUCUUCCCCGUCAACAAUAAUAUGCCAUUGUUUCCAAAUCAAAUCUCUCUCUUUUUUCAACAUCCUUCGAAUAUGCAAAGGUGGUUUCCAUCCAGUCAACAAAGGCUCCGUAUAAGUAAUCCCUUUUGCCAAUUCCCGGACUGACAUCAGGGUCUUUCGAUCCGAUAAAUGUUCAAUCAUCUCUUUCUCCUGUUGUACAAUUUGUUCCAUUUGACUUAUUUCAGGUUGGUCCUUCUUGAGCUGGGUUGCUUUUACAAGCAAACUAGGUUUCACUUCAGCAAGAUUGGAUUUUUCAUUCUCAUCUUCAAGUGCAGAUGACUUGCCCUUUCUUUGUAGGAUUUUUUGAGCUUCCAUGGCUCGGCGUUUUGCAACCGGAAUAUACUCAACGUAAUCAUCAUCUUCCUCCAUUUUUUAAUUUUCUGCAUUACCCAAAAAAAGCCCUAAAUUAUGAUGUUGAGAUUAAGGCUGAAAAAUGUUUAAUUAAAAAAAAAUUGCUGAAGUAACAAGCAUAAAACCCUCAUAUUUUUCUGUGCACUCUAUACUGAAACAUAAUAAUCAGCUGCAAUAUUUCACAAAAGCAAAAUAAUUGCUGCGACAAAUGAGAUGGAAAGUGCAUAAAAAAACAGAAAACAGAAAAGCCCUAAUGACCAUUCAGGUAAAAUGCCAUGAUAAGCAAAAUGAACCGAAACAUCUACCAAAAUGAAUUAGACUAAAAUCGACAGCUGAAAACAAAAGUAAAUUAUAUAAUUUCAAAAAAUAAGACCUUUCUGGGUUUGCUACUUACCCUGCUAAUUUGCUUAAACGAAUAACAGACUCUGACACCGGCGGAUAGGAGACUGGAUGUGGAACAAAGACAAGGCACAAGGCAGUGGAGGCGGACGGGCAGUGGAGGAAGACGGCUGCAGGACGGCAGCUUGGAGAUCGGAUUUGCUUUAAGAGAGCGGAGUGAGCGGAUGUGAGGAACAGAGAGAAAGAGAGACGAGGAAAAUAAGAAAUUUUAUAUGUUGCUAACACCUACACAAAAACCUAAAACCAACACCCGCUCUGGCUUUGAUUGAAUUCAGUCUUACUCCAUUUUCCUUUCCCACGCAACAAGAAAGAAAACAUCAACAGAUGCGGCAAACCCCAGCUAAACAUAAUCCAAUAAUGUGAAGCUAGGAUCUAUCUAAUCCCUUCAAAAUCACCAAUCAUCACCACUCAUUAAAACAAAAUGAAACACCUUUUGGAAGAACAAAAACACCCAGAUCAAAAAUAACACAUUCAAUACAAAAUAAAUCUAUUCCAGAUUCAAUUUAGCAAAGAUUAUUUAUUUUUCAGAUCACUUAUUCCAGAAGAAAGAAACAUGAAUGCGUAAAGAAUACAAACAAAACUAAAAUUAAAUGAGAAUUAUUGAAUUAAAAUUACCUGAUUGAAUAGAUUAUUAGAGAGAGAAAGGAAAAUAUGUUUUUCUAUUUGGAGACACAGAGGUGGGUGGUACGGAUAGGAUAGAUUUAGAGGUAUUUAUAACGUUUUUAGAGUGAAGGAGACAACCGUGGCUAGGCUUUUUUAGAAAGAGAGGAAACAGGCGGCAGGAGGAAGGGGAAGAGAAGAAAAGAGGAAAGGGAAAGAAAGAGGAAGCCGCUACCAGAAAGGCCUAGACCGGACAAGGCGACGGCGACCGAGUAAGGGAGAUAGGGUUUGGAGAAAGGGGUUGGCUGCCGCUGGUUGGGGUCAGUGGGAAAAGAAAAAGAGAGCAAAAAUGAAGAAAAGAGACAGGGUUGACUGCUUGGGUUAGGUUAAAAGUUUAUAGGACAAUCAAAACCACGUCGUUUUAUGGAUACAAGAAGAAGAAAAAGAAGAGGUGUGUCGGAUUCACCCGAGUUCAACCCGGUUCAAGUUUAGGCACAGUGCAUUUUAUUUAUUUAUGAAUUUUUUAUGCAUGAAUUAAAUUUUUGAAAUUACUUUAAGAAAGAGAUAAGAAUAAAAAGUCAAACAAUUUUUUUGAUAAAUAAUAAAAUAUGAAAUAAUUAAUUGAAUAAAAUUAAUAAUGACUUGCCAAAAUUAUUGCGAGAUUCCAAAAUUAUAUUCACAAGGUUGAUUAAUUCUGAAUAAUUAUAAACGCAUAAGAUAAAAAAAGUAGUAAUUAAAAUUGAAGAUAAUUUACAAAAUUUCAUCUUUAAAAUUAAAAAAAAUUAAUAUUCCAUAAUUAAUAUUCAUUUUAUUUUGAUUUUAAAAAAAAAUUCAUUUUAUUUUAAUAAUUUUAUUAUCUAAUAAUUAUGUAACUUAUCAAUAAUUACUUUCAAUAUAUUACAUUUUCUCAAUUUUAAUUUUAUUUCUAUAUUAGAAUAGUCGUAAUUAACAAAAUAUGAUUAUAUUAAUAUUUGCAUAUAUUAAAAUAUAAAAAAUCAAGUGUUUUCAAAAAUUAAAAAAUAUUUAAAUAACAAAUAUUGCUUAAUAAGACAUGGGACAAUAUUUUAAAAAUAGUGAUAUUUUUAAAUAAUUAUAUAUAAUUUAUUAUUACUACUACUAUUAUCUAUAAUAUUUUCAAAAUUAAAAUUGUUUCUUUUUUAUUAUUUUUAUUUUAUUUAUAAUAUUAUGUAAUUUUAAAUUAUUUUUUAUAAAAAAACGACUCGUACACAAAGCAAGGCACCACUCUAAUUAAUUAAAGAUGUUUUUAUCUAAAAAAAAUUUUGAUCUAUUCAAAACGUAUAAUACUAGGAAUUACUAUUCUCCCUUUAAAAAAACCUAUAAAGUCCGACCUUAUAAAAUACUAUUCAUGACAUACAUGUGAUGAUAGCAUGAUUGCAUGCUAGGAGAGUCUCGAAAAAUUUACAAAAGUCGGUAUUGUACCUAGAGGUACAACAAAGUUUAUUUAAUCCUCGAACUAGAUCAAAUAGGAAUUUUAAGGUGAGAUUAAGAGUUUCACAGUUCAUGGAUGACUUAAAAUGGUAAUUUGGAGUUUGAGGAUCAAUUUGGAGUCAAAUCGGAAUUUUCACUAACUAGGGGCAAAAUGGUCAUUUGCCACCUGGGGACAAAAUGAGAAUUUUAGAAAAGAUUUUUUUGACCCCAUUUGACUUAUUAGAGUAUAAUUUGACUUAUUGAAGUAUGAUUUGAGGUUUAGAAGUGAAAAAUUUUAAUUUCGGUAUAAUUUGGAGUAAAAGGGUAAAAUGGUAAUUUUGCCACCUCAGGGGCAAAAUUGUAAUUUUCCACCACCAGGAUAUUUUUUCCAGCACAUGGUCUUCCUUUGUCUUCAUCUUUGACCCUUGACUAAACAUGUGGUGGAGAUAAAAUGUUUAAAUUUUUAAAAUUUUAAAAACGGGCCAAUGACAUGAUGCCAUGUGUCAUGCCUUUAUUAAUUUAUUAUUUUCCUUUUUAAAAGGCACAAAAUCAGCCCAUCUUCCACCCCAUGGCCGGCCAAACCAGCAAGAAGAGAGAGAAAACAAAAACAAAACCCUAGAGAGAGAAAAUCAAAGAAAAAGUGUGAAUUUUCAAGGAAAUUAAGUGAAAAAGGUGAGUUUUUUCUAUUAAGCUUGAGUUUUCUUAUUCCCAAGCAUUUCUCUUUAUUUUCCAUGAUUAAAUUACAUGUUUUCAUGAUGAAUUCAAUUCUGAAAAAAUGGGUUAGGAGAGAGAAAGUUGUUGGAUUUAUUUGAUUUUAAUUUAUGUUAGUGUUUUUAGUUAGUUUAGCAUAUUUAGAAACAAAACAACAAGAAAAGAAUUUAUUUUCUCCCCCAACCAUUAAUGGCUGAAUUUACCAUGUAGUGAGUGAGGAUGAGUUUGAUUUUAUUCUAGGAGAAUUGGUUAAGGAAUAAUGAAUUAUGAGCCUAGAAAAAUAAUGGGAAUUUUCGGAGCAAAAAUACGAAUUUUUACCCACUAGGGGUAUUUUCGUAAUUUGCUGUUGGGACUGAUAAUUUGCACCACACUGAGGGACAUUAAGUUAAUUUGGGUGCAAUUGAGGUAUAGAAACUGAAAAGAAUUAAAUUGGAGUUUAAACGGACCCGUUAGGAAUUUAAUCGGGUGAUAAGACGAAUUAGGCCAAUACCGGGUUUAGAUAGUUACCAGUGCAUUUUUGCAUUCCAUAUCAUGCAUUGGUAGUCUAAAUUAGUUUAAUUUUGAUUUAGUACCAACUUGGUGAAACUCUCGAUUUUGUACUGUGUCAAGGUGGUGAGUCCUCCGAUAAAGGCAAGGAAAUUGCAUCCGAGGACCAGUAGACAGAGUGCUUCGAAAGUCUGCAUUCUAGACAUUGUGAGUAAACUUACUGUCAUUUUAAUUAUCUAGGGUGGUUUUUAGAUGCUUUCAUGAAUUCUAUGGAAAAAGGAAUUUAAAAAGAUAAAUUUUCAUGUUUUAUGAAUAAAUGAGUUUCAAUGAAAUUAAAUUAUAAAUUGUUUUGAAAUUAAUAGUGAUUUUGAAAAAUAGAGUACACGGAGACUGUUAAUUGUGGCAAUUUGAUUGUUUAAAUUAACUGGCUUAUGAUAAAUCGAGCAUGAUUGGCUAGUUGGCAAUUGUAUUGAAAUGCGAAUUGUUUGGUUACCUUGAAAAACUACGAAUUACAAAAUUGCCAUAUCAUGUUAUUGAGUUUUAUUAUAUGGUGGAUUAUAUAUUAAUUAAUCACUGCAGUAGGGGGUUUCUGUGGACCAGCCUUUUAGAGGGGCACGGUAAACCCCAUUAUAUUCUUACCUCGAACGGAGAGGCGCGUAGGGUAUCUCCUGGGGUAAAGUUUAGGGUUCACUUCACGCUAAACCACCACGUGAGGGGGAACUCAGCCAACGCCAAGGAACGGCUAUGUUUUCAAAACAAAAACAUGAUUUAUGUGAAAUGUGAAUUUUAAUAGCCUUGGCGGUCUCGGUAGGAUGCCUCGGCCAAGGUGUCCCCGAGAAUGGAUUUAUGGCACAAGCCUAGAUUUUUAUGAGAUUCAUAAGCCUCUUUACGUGUUUUGAACAAAAUGUGUUCUAAUGCUAUAACCCAGUUUAUGAUGAUUUACUUUAUUGUCUCCAUGUACUCAACUCUAGAUGUUUAUGAUGAUGUUUGUUUACUCAUUGGGAUUUUAUAAUCUCACCACCCUCCUUUCCACCCAUUUCAGGUUCAGUAUAGACUGUAGAUAGCUGAUCUCAUCGAGGACUACAGUGGGAUCUGCAUUUUCCAAACCGUAGGUUCACAGUCCUCUUUACUUUUGUUUAUUCGGGGGCCCUCUUGUUAUUGUAAAUUAAAUUAAAUAUUUUGGCUUACUGUAUUUAAGUAUGUAUAAAUUUAUUUAGCUUUUACGCUAUAAAAAUUAUUCACGUAUAACUCUAUAAAUAUUGUUUUAUAAGAAAAUAGAAUAUUUUACUUAAUAUUUCUUUUGUUUUCUUAUUAUAUUCAAAUAACCAUAAUUUCGUUUUAAAUGAAGAUUUUAGACUUUUAAACUCAUUUUGAAUAUGAAUUAUGUGUUUUGUAAUUGUAUAUUACGUUUUAGCCAGUUUCGACAUUUUUGAGAAAAAUGACUAAAAUACCCCUAUGAGAUAAAAAAUUAAUAUUUUAUUUGUUUAAAGUUUGAAACAGCUUAAAAUCUUUUAGAACACGAUAUUUGACAAUGGUUGCUCACAAGGGAACAGAAAAACUGAUAGUAAAGCCUUGCGGGAUUUCGGGUUGACAUUCCGGGCAAUGAGUGUCUCCCGGGACAUCGCGACGGUUGUCACGGGCUCGAGGGGAGUACCGGGUCGUGACAAAACCAAACACUAAAAUUCCCUUUAUGGUUUCAUUUCCUAGGAAUCAAACAUGGUCUUUACAUAGUUAUACAAUAUUAAAAUUAAAUUAGCUAAAUGCUUAAAUUGGAGUUAAACAUUUGGAUACUUUUUCAAUUAAAGGUCAAAUAUUUUCAAUUUUUUACAAUUAAGGGCUAAGUUGACAAGUGAAUGGAGGUUGUAUCACACAUGAUAAAAAAUCAUAUUGAAAAUAUAAUUAUUAUACGUCAUGUUAAAAUUUAGUUAUUAUAUAUCAUAUUGAAAAUUUAAUUGUUACACGCCAUAUUGAAAAAUGUUAUUGUUAUACGUCAUAUUAAAGAUUUAGUUGUUACAUGCUAUGUUAAAAAUUGUAGUUGUUACACAUAAUGUUGAAGAUUUAGUUGUUACACAUCAUGUUGAAAAAUGUAAUUAUUACACAUCAUGUUAAAGGUUUAAUUGUUAUAUACCAUGUUGAAAAAUUUAAUUAUUAUACGUCAUGAUGAAGAAGUUGUUACACAUCACGUCAUAAUUUGAACUGUUUUAACUUGAUAAAAAAGAUUUUUUGACAAAACUAUCUUUCAGUAUUUUACCAUUUCAAGUUAACAUUUACAUCAUGCGCAUAUCUUUCGUGCACUAAACACCUUUCACCUUAGUCGUUAAUUGUAAAAAAUCGAAAACAUUUAGUUCUUCAUUGUUACAAUUGAAACGUUUGAUCUUAAAUCGACAAAAACCUAACAAUUUUGACCAUAAAUUGAACAUUUAGUCAAUAAAGUCGAUUUGGUCACGAAUUGAAAAGAAUAAAAAAAAUUCGAGAAAGAGAAAUGGGUUCUGGGUUGAAGCCCAAUCCAAAUUUCCACCUUUAACCCAGUUCAUUUGGUCAAGCUCAAAAAAUCAAAACACAAUUAAAAAGUGGAAUAUUUUUGCUUCAUUAUUUAUUUUCACAUUAUGUUUUAAAAUUAAAUUAAUAAAAUUGUUUAAUUUAUUCAAUAAAAAAUAAAAUGAUUAUUUAAAAAAAUUUAAAAAUGAAUUUUUAAAAAAAUCAUAAGUAAUAAUUUUUCGAGCAAUUUCUUAAGUGAACAAAAUCUUGAAUUUGCACCAAACGAGCUGUGAUGCUCUACAAUUAUUCCCAUAAUGUGACCUAAGUCUAAAUUUAAAAUAAAUGAGAAUAAAAGAAUAUUAAAUUUUUUUAAUAACUUACCAAUGUGAAUCAUUAUAGGUAUUUGUUUGUAUCACAUUGAAAAUAGGAAGGAGAGAAUUGAUUUUGACCCAAUGAAGACCAAUCAUUGUUGGAAAGGAGGGAUGGACUUCGUUAGUGCUUUGCCAAUGAUGGGGCCGGAUUCGACCCCUUGGCUAGUAAGAGGAAGAAAGAAAAAAGAAAAGGAUAAGAGAAAACUGUGAGGAAAAUGGGCUUGGGAUUUUUUUUGGAAAAUACAAUUUUAGUCUUUGGGUGUAAAAAAAGAUAUUUUGCGCCUUUUUCUUUGAUUUUUUUUUGUCAAAAUACUUUAUAUAAGAGUAUUUUUUUCAAUUUAAUCCCUUUACUUAAAAUUGUAAUAUUUUAGUCUCUUCAUUUUAUGAAUUGCUUCAAUUAAAUCUCUUUCACAUUUUUCGUUUAAAUUAACCAUUAUGAUAAUGACAUCAACGUUGAUAUAGUGUUGAGUUAGCACCAGAUGCUGACGUGGCAAUAACACAUCAGUGUGUCAGGGUGACUUGGCAUUGCCAUGCCAUAAAUUGGAUCUGAGUUGCACGUGGCACACCAAAAGGCUACCACAUGGCACAUCAAUAUGUUGACACGUGGCGCAUUAAGAGGCUGACACAUGGCAUUUUAAUUCUUGAAAACAAGACGUGUGAAAGGUUGCCAUGUCAGUGUUGACAUCAGAUUUGUAAUGGUUAAUGUAAACGAAAAAUGUGAGAGAGACUAAAUUAAAAUAAUUUUCAAAAUGAUAGGACUAAAAUAUUACGAUUUUAAAUAGAGGGAUUAAAUUGAAAAAAAAUACCCUAAUACAGGAACUUUUCAGAUAUUUUGAUCAUUUUUUUCCUAUAAAAGCUUUCUUUUCCUAAAAAAGUUAUAAUUCAAAAUAAUAGAGGAAAAACGUUAUCAAGUAUACAUGCUUAAUUCCUUACAAAGAUAAGUGUCUUGGUUGAAAAAAAUUUCCUAAAAAAAAGGUAUAUGCCUUUCUUUUUGGUAAUCUUUUUUCUUCUAAAUAUUUACAAAAAAGUUAUGUCUAAUAAUGUUAAAAAGUUUAAUAAAAAAUAAUCACGAAUACAUUAUCAGUUUAUCAUUUAUAUUUUUAAAUUGAUUAAAAUAGGUGUAGAUCUUUGGUAAGAGAGAGAGGAAAUAAAAAAAUAUAAUUCUUUUUCAUUUUUUUAAUUUUUUCUUAAUUUUUUCCUUUUUUUUUAGAUACUUAUGAAAUAUUAUAAUACCGACUGUUCUCCUUAGGCUAGAAAAAACCAAUUAAAAUAAGAUACCACAAGCAAUUCCCACAAAUGCCAAAAUGGAAAUUCCGAUGACAACGUCAUUUGUUAUAGUGUGUCCUCGUAAUAUAAUAGCAUGAGAAGAAAAAUUUAAAAGUAAUUAUUUGGAAUAAUCAUAUUUAACAAGAUCUAAUUAUCAAUCACACUUAAUUAAAAUUGAACGAGAACACUAUAAAAUUUUUUAAUAGCUUUAUGUUCCACAAAUUUCAUGUUGAAAAUGAGAUAAGAAAAUUCAAAUAUAGAUAAAACAUAUUAUUAAUCAGAUGUAAAAAUACAAUCUCUAGAAAUUCUUUAAAAUAAAAAAUAAUAAUCUUUUGGUUCUUUUCUCCAACAAAAAUCCCCUUCUAGAACCUUGAUGGCUUGAUCUUGAACAAACAAAAUUGAUUUUCUUCCUUUUGCUAGAAUAAGUUUCAAGAGCAAUUUUGAUACAUGAUUUGUGUUUGAAAAAUUCUUCAAUUAACUAAUUAAAAUAAAUUUUAAAAGACAUAUGAUAUCUUGUAAUCCGAUAAAAAUUUCUUGUUCUACGAAUGCCCCUUCAAAACUUGUUCUUGCUUGAUUUUGCUUGUAACAAGUGAGCAAGUCUAGAAAUUCAAUUUAUUUACUUACACUUUUCAUUUGGAAUGAACUUUUAAUGGACAAAAAAAAAUUCUUUUCCUAGGAUAUUUUAAAAUCCUAGUGUGCCUUGGUUUAAUCUUGGUAGAUUUGAAAUUUAAUUUUAAUUUAAAUAAUCCUUCUAGGCAAUGGAAUUAUAGUUUUGACAAUGUUGUCUUGCAAUUGGCAAUGCACUCCUUAAUUAAUUAGGAGAAAGACUUUUGCUUUAUAAAAAUAGAGUUAUUUUGCCAAUUUUCUUCACAUCAAAAUCUCAAGAAUGUCAUUAAGAAUUCUUUUGUUGUUUAUGCAUCUUUUAUACACUUAUGACUAAAAAACAAGGGUGUCAUUAAGAAUUCUUUGAAAGUUGGUCUACAACCACGUACACCCUCCACAUGGCCUCUAGAGAAGCUUCCAUCUCAUAAUGAGAUUUACAUAAAUUGGAUGGCCUACCUAUUCAUGAUUAGUGUUAUGAUGAGUUAUCUCAUCUGCUACAAAAUUAACUAGUGCUAAUAGUGAAGGGAGAUUCCUUCCAAAAAAUUGUUUGUAUUUAUUUCCCAUCUUUAAUUAUUUAAAUGAAAGAAAAAAUAUUUAUGAGGCUCUAUUGUAGUGAAUUCUACCAAAAAAGAAUAAUGCAAGCAUAUGAUAAGAAAGUUCACUCUUGAUGCUUUCAAGAAGAAGAGCUAGUUUUGAAGAUGAUUCCCCCUAAUCAACAUGAUUGUCAAAGAAAAUGGACGACAAUUAGGAAGGUCCAUUUGUGAUGAAGAAACGAUUUCUGGGUGAAGCAUUAAUUUUGAUAGAAAUGGAUGAAAAUGAUUUGCCAAAUCAAUAAAUGUCAAUACAAUCAAGAAGUAGUAUGCUUAAAGUAAAAAAACACCAAAAAAGAAAAUGAAAGAAAAGAGGAGAGGUUCAAGUUGAAACCUCUAAAGGGCAAUUUGAACCCAAAAAAAGGUACCUAAGUUGAAACCUUAAAAGAGCACUUAAGUAUGUAGUGUUAGAUGUCGAUCUUAGCAUAUGCUUGUGAUUGUGUAAUUGUGUAACUUAUGGAUUUCAAAAAAAUUUUAGCUAUGGAAAUAAUUUAUCCAAUUUACACAUGCAAAAAAUCACAAUCAUACAUCAUGUGAAUCAAAUAAUAAUCGCAUUGAUAUUAAAGAAUCAAAAGUAAGAAAUGUUACCUACUCCGUGCUAGAAAUAUAUUUCAUUCUUCUUUUCUGUGAAUUGUAAAAAUUCACCACCACACCAAUUAUUAGAAAUUUUGACCAAUUUAAAUUACUAGUUAUUCUUCAAGAAUCUUUCAAUCUUGAAUCUAGAGUGGACUGGGUGUAGAAUACUUUUCAAGAUGGUAACUAAAUUAUUUUCUCUCAAUUUCUUCUAUAGCAAAUUUUCUUUAUGUAAGGCUUGUAGAAAAUUGCUAAUGGGAGCAAAAAGUAAAAAUAGAGAGAGAUGGAGGAGUACGACUAUCACAAAAGUGUGACUAGGGUUUUGGCCAAAAUCACAUAUUUAUAAUAUGCUUUUCGGUCCCAUUAAAAAAUAAAGAGAUAUUUCUCUUUUAAAACUCUUUUUAAUUUAAUUAAUUAAAAUUAAUUGAUAUUUAGCAUCUAUAAUUUAAUUAAAUAAUAAACUAUUUAUUUAUAAUUAUUAGUCCAUGUCAAAAUAGGAUUAUUCAAUUUUAUUAUUAUCGAUCUUUAAUUGGAAAAAUUAAUAAUAUAAAUUAUUGUGGCAGCCUUGGUGUUAAGAGGUUAGAGAGACAUCGAAUGGUGCUUGAGAAAUUUGAAUAACCACAAAGGUAAGAACAUGGAAUGCAAUUUCUACUAUGAUGUCUUAAAUACGGUUAAGAGAAAUAAUUAUGUUAGUUGGAAAUUUUGAAGCUUAUUGUGAAUACAUUGUUGCAAAAGAUCUAAGAGAUUUAAAAUUAGAUAAGGAAUUCUAGAAUCUAGAUUGAUAUUGGUGUAUAUGAAUGGGAGUUUGAUACUUCUUUAGUGGCAGCACAUUAAAUAUGGAAAACGGUGCAUACAAGUUUAAGAAAUUAUUUGUAUAAUGGGAUUUUAAGUUGUUGCCCAUAUAUGUGAGUGAUUAACUGUAAAGAAAUAAUAACUAGAGUAUGAUGUCUAUUACUAGGAAAGAUUGAAAUGAACAUUUGAGGUUAUGUACAAAUUGCUAGACACAUACAACCCGAAUAUGACACUAAGGAUUCAGUAAAAAUAAUUAAUUCUUGAAGACAGAAUAUUAAAGUUAUGAAUUUAUUGACUAGCAGCAUGUGUAAAGUAGAAUGGCAUGGAAGUUUAUUAAAUGCUUUAGAUAUAAUUGAUGCUAGGGAGUUUGACAAAGCAAUGGCUUGUUGCUGUGAACCGAAGUUAAUGUUGCUGCGAGCAAAAGCUAACGGGAAUAAAGGACAUAUAGAAAAUAAUAUUUAUAGGCUAAGCAUAUAAAGAAGUUAAUAUUGGUGAGAAAUUCCACCAAAAGAGGUGAGUGGGGGUACUUAUAUCAAAAUAUUCCCUAUUAUAUAUAAAGAUAUAUAUAUAUAUAUAUAUAUAUAUAUAUAUAUAUAUAUAUAUAUCUACAUGUGAAUGAUUUAUGCAAUGUCAUUGUAGAAAGCAUGAGCUAGUAGGAAAUUAUAGGUGAAUUGUGGUUGAAAUUGUUUUUAAUUUGUUUUGAAUAUACAUAUUAUAUAUACAUAUAUAAAUAGAGUGUUUUGGAAAAUCGAAAACAAGCCUUUCACAAUGAUUUGCUUCAAAUUAUGCCUUGCAUAGUUGUGCGACUUGCAUAAUUACUUGCAUGCUGUAAAUGGUCAGAUUACAUGAUUAUCAUGAUUUGAUUUAAGUCUAAACUUUUAUACAUGCUAUUUUACACCAUGCAUUACAUGUGGAACAAAAUUUAUAAUUGGUGCCACAUAGACCUGACAAUUCGUGUUAACAUGUUGUAAACGUGUUAGACACGAUUAGACAUGAAAUACAUUAAAGUUAAACACGAAUAUGACACGUUUAAUAUUCGUGUCUUAAAUUUACAACACGUACACGUAUAUGUUUAAUACACGUAUAACACGACACGACAAGAUUAACACGUUUAUUAAACGUUUCAAUAUACGACACGAUAUGAUUAAUAACACGUUUAAUAUGAUUAAAUAAAAAUAUUUACAAUUAAAUAUAAUUUUAUUAUUUAAAUUUAAAAUCUAUAAUUAUAAAAAUAAUUAUAACAAAACAAAAUUAAUAAUAACAUUAAACAAUCACCAAAAGUUAAAAAUUAGGGUUGAGCAUGUAUAAUUACAUUAUACCUUUUAUAAAAUUUAAAAAAAUUUAUUAAAAUAAUUAUUUAAAAUUAUUUAUAUAAGGUUAAAAUAGUUUUUAACUAUUAAUUUUUAAUAAAUUAAUAAAUGUGUUACGUAUACACGUUUAAACACGAUAACACGAUUAAACACGAUUAAAUAAACGUGUUUAAAUGUGCUUUAAACGUGUUUGUCAUGUCUGAUACGUUAAAAUACGAAAAUUUUCAUGUCUUAACGUGUUAGACACGAUUAGAUACGAAACAUGUUAAGACUAAAUCCAAAACCUGUUUAACUCGUAUAUUUUCAUAUCGUGUUAACGUGUUGUGUUCAAAAUUGUUAAGUUUAAUGUCACAUCUUUCUUUUAAAAAGGUUGAUGAAUUGAAUACUUCAAAAACCUUGUACUGUUUUGGAAGUUGUAAUUUUGUUAAAUCGUAAUGAUCGAGAGUAAGUACUGUUGUCACAUCAACUUUUGUAUGAUCCUUGUGUAUAAGUGAGCUCUAAUUAAAGAUUAUUUUGAAAAAACCGACAAGCAUGUAUAUAUGUGGCAAGGCCAUGGAUCGUUUAUUUGUGGAUAGGACCACAAGUUAUGACCAUGCUGCUCUUUUAUUGGCCACCUUGAUAGAUAGUGUACUACUGGCAAGGGAAGUAGGGGGAGAAGGCCCGAAAUAUUAUUACGUUGGAAAAGACCCAUGGUAAUGACCCACUCGAAAGCAGCACUUAUCUUUAAUUUACGAUUUUAUUUUCUUGCAUGGUGCAAUAUGUUUUAUUUUUCGUAGCUCCCUUUUAUGAAAAAGGUUUUGUGCACGGUUGAGCACAAGUGCACUAUCAUGUGGAUGCAUUCGGAAUAGUUUUACAUGCCACACUUAACGGGAGCGAGCACAUACAUGAUCUGCCUUAUUGUAAAUACAAAAUGCACCUAAUGUUUCCUUUGGUUGGAAUCUAUUUUAUUAAAUCAUGCAUUAACUUAGAUGUCAACUUAAAUUUCAAACUAGCCUUCGUAAAAUCUUAACUUAAACGUUAAUAACAUAAAAUAAACUUAGCAGUUCUCGUAAAUGAAGACAACUUAAUCUAAAAUUUAAAUUAAAAGAAUCUAACAUUGAUAAAUAAUAUAAAUUGUAAAAGUAUAAAAUAUGUGGCAUAAAAUACGUAAGGAGUGUCAUAACCAUACACAAACUAGAAUGCUUGCGCGUUGCGCUAGGAAAUUGUUAUUUUGUGGGUAUUGUUUGAAACAUUAUAUAAAAGUUUAUCAUCAUCUUAAAUAGAAGUUUAACUAUUUAUUUGAUGUUAUUAAAAUAAUAUAGUUGAACAAAUUAUUAACUUUAAUUAUGUAGUUGAUGUUAUCAUAACAGAAUAACUAACUAAAUUGUCAACAUUAAAGUAUAUAUGGAUGGUUAGAAAGUGUGUAAUAUUCAAUGUGCGUAAAUGAUAUAGGAUGCUAUCAAUUAUUAAAAAAAAAAGAAAAAAACGUUAAGUUUGAUACAUUGAAAACAGUGAAUAUUUGAAUAAUUGGUAACUAUUUGUGAGCAUUGUAUUGUAUAAGAAAAAAUUAUUUACAUGUACCUAAACAGUUUGAAAGUCAUAGCUUAAAAUUUUUUUUAAAAAGCCAAACCCAUUUAUAUUAGCAAAAAAAAUUUGUCAAAAACAAAAUAGCUCAAAAAUUUCAUGAAAUUAGAAAAUAAAAGAAAAAAACAAAACCAAAUCACAAAAUCAAAUUAAACUUCACAAAACAAGAAGAAAAAUAUAAACAAAAUAAAGAAUUUUCACAACAUUAAAGAAAAAAAAAAACCUCCAAAACCCAUUACAAAGACAGCAGCCUAAACAAUAAUUAAAAGGACAAUAAUCAAAAUACAAAAGAGUAAAAAAAUAAAGAAGAACACGACCUCAAAGAAUCAAAUAACAAAGAAAAUGAACAAAAAAGCACCAAAAGAAAUAAAGAAAACAAAACAAAACCAAAAAAAGAAAAGAACAGUGAAAAAAGAGGAGAAAAAGAUGAAAAAAAAAAUAGAGAAAGUGACAAAUGGGAGAGAGCGAAAACCUAGAGGGAAAAAGAAUAAUCUAGAAGCAUAUCAAUCAAAAAGACCAAAAUAACAUGACAAACAAAACCAAAAAGAAAAAAAAAAAAAAAAAAAAAAAAAAAAAAAAAAAAAAAAAAAAAAAAAAAAAAAAAAAAAAAAAAAAAAAAAAAAAAAAAAAAAAAAAAAAAAAAAAAAAAAAAAAAAAAAAAAAAAAACCUU